AACGAACGCUGGCGGCAGGCCUCAUACAUGCAAGUCGAGCGAUUAAGACUCCUUCGGGAGUGUAUAAAGCGGCGAACGGGUGAGUAACAGGUGGAUGAUCUACCUUCCGGUGGGGGAUAACGGCUGGAAACGGCCGCUAAUACCGCAUUCGGUUAAUACGCUGUGGCGUAUUAAAGAAAGGCGCCUCAAAGCGCCGCCGGGAGAUGAGUCCGCCCCCCAUUAGCUAGUUGGUGAGAUAACAGCUCACCAAGGCAACGAUGGGUAGCCGAACUGAGAGGUUGAUCGGCCACACUGGAACUGAGACACGGUCCAGACACCUACGGGUGGCAGCAGUAGGGAAUAUUGGGCAAUGGGCGAAAGCCUGACCCAGCCAUGCCGCGUGAGUGAUGAAGGCCCUAGAGAUUGUAAAACUCUUUUCUGAGGAAAGAAUGAAUAGGGAAGGAAAUGUCCUUAUUUGACGGUACCUCAGGAAUAAGGAACGGCUAACUCCGUGCCAGCAGCCGCGGU
rnacentral:rRNA from 1 species